GGAGGGGUGGCAGCGCGGUCGAAUGCGGCGGUCUCGAAAACCGUUCGGGGCGGUUUCGUCCCGCGAGGGUUCAAAUCCCUCCCCCUCCG
rnacentral:tRNA from 1 species